AGCAUUCUGGACCUUUUGACGGAAAAGCCAGGAUGGGGAUGGUGAAUUCUCAUAGCAUGGAGUAGUGGACAGUGGGGGUAGCGGUGUCUGGGGUUGAGAAGACCGUGGAGAGAUACACAGAAGUGUCUCCAGCUUCCAGAACAUUCUAUAUCACUAGAGGUGCUCAGGCAAUGUGUCCAUCGAAUCUGGACUUCAGCCACCCUAUGGUACCCUUUACACCAUUCAUCUACCUAAAAGAUCUGUGUGUGUUCUUGGGAAUUUGACAUCAAAAACCACUUCUAAUCCAGAGUUUAUGGUGGAGAGAGGGACCCUACAGGCAGCUCAUGGUUCCUACUCUGCUGGUUCUCUAGCAGCACCCGCGUGUCCUCCAGGUCCCAAGUGAGGUGGUGACACUUCCUCUUCAGCUGGUGAGCCAUCUUCUUGGCCUCUUCAUACGCACUCUGCAGCUCCCCAAGCUAUGGAGAGAAGAGAGUGAGAGGUUCGCUGGUGCCCCCUGUUUCCAAGCUCUGUCCGGGCCUUCAUCUCUGAGUCCAAUCUCUCCUCGCACUGUUGAAGGCGCUUGCGUAGGAAAUCGUUCUCCAUCUGAGCACAGUCCAAACGCAUCUGCCACUCGUCUGCUGUGUGACAGAGUCGGCAGCUGCCUCCAUUCAGCAGGAGAGAAUCCACAUCAUAGUGGGAACUGGACAAAGAUGUCCCGAUCCCAUCCAACCAUGAAUGCCAAGUCCCUAGGCAGUGGCAUAACCAGUGCACUGAUGCUGCCUGCCUCUCACUGGGCAGUCACUCUGAGAGUCAGCCUCAACUUGAUCAUGUAUGUGAAAGCAUGCAGAGCCCGUAUUCCUCAUGAAGAGGUAGCUGAUGGCUAUGGGUUAGUCUACUCCAUAUGGCCCAGCUCUGCUUGUUCAUCAUCUAGGACCAGCUACACUUGAAUGUGAAGAAUCUGGGGCUCAGGGUGACUUUGAAUAGCAUGGUAUGAUUCAAAUACAGAGGGGAAAUUUAAAAACCUGGACUCCACUGUCAUCUUCAUCAAAUAGAAGAGAAUGUAACACA